UUCCAACCCCAAAUCAUUCUGUGAUUCUAUGAUGACUUAACUGCUUGAGAAUAAUAAUGGGAAAACAACACUUCUGAGCAUUUGUUUGCAGAACACAGCAGCUGGAUGUGACAGAGCAUCUCGUGUAGCUUUGGACUGAUGUCAGUAACCCAGAAGUUCUACUGCUCAGCUCAUCUCACAAGCUGAACCCUGGUGGUCAGUUCCCCCCCCACCUCAAGCCCUCAUCCAGCCCCCUGGGUUUCUCCAUGCCUAGAAUGUCACUAAGGACAAUCCUGCUUCCUGCAGCAGGGAGGAGGGCUGUGUUACCACCAAUGGGGUGUCAGACUCCCAGCAAGGACUCAAGAGAGGAUCUCAACUCUCCCACCUGUUGUCUUUGAUGCAGAGGAAGCACAUGAAGACCCCCCCAUUCCCUUCAGCAGGGACUGUGAUUGAGGACUUUUGGAGCUUAUCCCAGGCAGCUUUGGUGCUCUCUGCCCCUGUGGUGCUACACACUGCACUGGUAACCCAAGUGGUGCCCACUGGCUGUGGCUCAGAGCAUUGGGGCCAUACUAGUCCUUGCAGCCUGCUGUAAUUCAGUUUAAAGUCAUGUUGUAAGGCAGCCCUGUUGGGAUAUUCCCCCUCUCAGGGGCUGUCAGGAGACAGCAAGCUGCAUUGGACUCAUUCAUGUGUCACCUUGUUCUGGUACAGCAAUAGAGGUUCUCUGGGGUGAUAUCCUCUGGUCUGAAAACAUGAAUUGUUCUCCUUAUUAUGUUAAAAAAAAAAAAAAAAAAGAGGGCUGCAGAAGAAAUAGAAUCAUCACCAAGUUUGGAAAAUAAUGAGCAUAUCACCUGUGGGAGAAGUGUUUGCUAAAAACACCCAGCACUGUAAUAAGGGACAGGGUGCUCGCUGCCAAUUGUGCAGCAUCACAGCCGGGUGGAAAGAGCAGAAUGAAAAUGAAGUUUGGAUGGGGCUGCAAACUCUUCAGCUUCAGAGUGUAAAGCUGAUGCUCAUUAUUGGAGCUGAGAGGAAUCUGUAUUUUUUUGUAGUGAUUAUCCUCCUGGAGAAUGUGGUUUCUUCCCACCUCCUGUUGGCUGGUGUGAGGAUGAAGAUUGGGGCUGAUGGGGUCUGACACAUCCAUCCCCCUGCCUAAAGCAUGAGGUGGUGACCUGCUCUCUUACACCUGCCUAUAGAGAGGGCUGCACCCAUGUAACUCUGUGUGCCCCCUUUUUUUAUGAGUGUUGUUCCUCAAGGCUGGGAGGUGCUGAGCAAGAGUGAAUGCAU